CAAUAGCGUAUAUUUAAGUUGCUGCAGUUAAAAAGCUCGUAGUUGGAUUUCGGGUGGGAAUGGCCGGUCCGCCGUUUCGGUGUGCACUUGCUACGCCCACCUUGCUGCCGGGGACGUGCUCUUGAGUUCACGCUCGGGACACGGAGUCGGCGAGGUUACUUUGAGUAAAUUAGAGUGUUCAAAGUAGGCCUACGCUCUGAAUACAUUAGCGUGGAAUAACACGAUAGGACUCUGGCCUAUCUUGUUGGUCUGUAGGACCGGAGUAAUGAUUAAGAGGGACAGUCGGGGGCAUUCGUAUUUCAUUGUCAGAGGUGAAAUUCUUGGAUUUAUGAAAGACGAACUACUGCGAAAGCAUUUGCCAAGGAUGUUUUCAUUAA
rnacentral:rRNA from 1 species